CCUGCCUCUUUGUAGUCCUGCUCGCUGGUGUUUGUUGUUGGAGCCAGCUUUGACUCUGGUGUGCUACUCGGCCUGUGUUUGAGGUACGGAGGCCUGUGGAUGCAGUCUGCCGCCAUUGGUGCCCUGCUGUGCUGGCCCACAGGGAGUUGCAUGGAUAUCUGGUAACAGGCAAAAAAGGAAAACAUGAAAGGGAAAGAUGUUUGCUGUCUGGAAGGCUUCAAAAAGGCGUCUUUAGAGUUUCACUCUGCCAAAUGGCUGAUGGAACACUGGAACAGGCUGCCCAGCAGGACUGUGGAGUCUCCAUCCCUGGAAAUAUUUGAGACCUGCCUGGAUGUGAUCCUGCUCUGGCAGGGAGUUGGCCUGGAUGAUCUUUUGAGGUCCUUUCCAGCCCCUGACAUUCUGUGAUUCUGUGAAACCUCACUUGAAAAGUACUUUAUUUAAAAAUCAUCCUUUUCCCCCUUCCUCUAUGCUCUAACACCUUGCUGGUUUUCAUGAGCGCUUACCAUGGGAUCACUACAGCUUUAAGUGGUGCCUGUUCCAUUUUCUUGUUUUUCCUCUUUGUGUCUGAAAGUGUUUUUGUGCAAGUUUUCUCAUCCUUACUGUUGAAGUGCUGUGUGAUGACUCUGUGAGUCAAAACAGCUAGAAUGUUUUUCUUGCACCAAAGAAAUUUUUCUUUUGUCUGGUGCAUUUGACUGGAAUUUCUGGAUGUGCCAUUUGUCUGCUAAAUACCUGUUGCUGCUGUCUUCAGUCUGGACAGUUGUAUGCUCUCAAAGCUUGCUGUGAUUUUCAGUAAAACCUGUCAAAAAGUCACUGAAA